rnacentral:lncRNA from 1 species
GUAAUAAAUGUCUUUAUUAAAGCCUGAGGUGGGGGUGGGUUGGGAGGGGAAGAUAAAGCACGCACCACCAUUUAUUUUGGACACAUCAGUGGUAAAACAACCCCAAAUCACAGCACUCCGGGGUCGGCCGCAGCGCCCCACACCUGCUCUGCUUCUUGCUGCCUAUUUAGGAUUUCCCUGUCGAGAUUUCCCCUCUCCCGUUGGCAAAGAGGGGCGACGUCCCGCUGAGAUGGGGCUUUGCACACCCAUGUUUGUGCACCGGCACUGGGGCUGGUUUGGGAGCGACCCCAUUGGGAAUGGGUUUGGGAGAUCCCGUUGGAAUGGAUUUGGGAGCGAUCCCAUUGGAGACUGGUUUGGAGAAAUCCCAUUGGGAAUAGGUUUGGGAUAUCCCAUUAGGAAUAAGUUUGAGAGAUCCCAUUGGGAAUGGG